rnacentral:rRNA from 1 species
GACGUAGGGGGCAAGCGUUGUUCGGAAUUAUUGGGCGUAAAGCGCUCGUAGGCGGGACUGGAAGUCCGUGUUGAAAGACCUCGGCUCAACUGAGGGACCGGCUCGGAUACUCUAGUUCUUGAGGCAAUCAGAGGGUGAUGGAAUUCCCGGUGUAGCGGUGAAAUGCGCAGAUAUCGGGAGGAACACCGGUGGCGAAGGCGGUUCUCUGGGCCUUACCUGACGCUGAGGAGCGAAAGCGUGGGGAGCGAACAGG